UGGGGAAUCUUCCGCAAUGGGCGAAAGCCUGACGGAGCAACGCCGCGUGAGUGAAGAAGGGUUUCGCUCGUAAAGCUCUGUUGUCGGGGACGAACGUGAGACGUGUGAACAAUGCGUUUUAAUGACGGUACCUGACGAGGAAGCCACGGCUAACUACGUGCCAGCAGCCGCGGUAAUACGUAGGUGGCGAGCGUUGUCCGGAAUUAUUGGGCGUAAAGGGAGCGCAGGCGGGAUAUCAAGUCUUUCUUAAAAGUGCGGGGCUCAACCCCGUGAUGGGAAGGAAACUGGUUAUUCUUGAGUGCAGGAGAGGAAAGCGGAAUUCCUAGUGUAGCGGUGAAAUGCGUAGAUAU
rnacentral:rRNA from 1 species